rnacentral:lncRNA from 1 species
UUGAAAUGAAAUGAUUUUGUUUUUAAAUAUAAAUGAGCUUGAUCGUCAACGGCUCAUGGGUAAGUAAAAAUAUUUUUCUGAUAAAAAUAAAAUAUUUCAAAAGAACUUCUGAUCAUGGGUUAUUAGUUGUCGAUGUGUGUGUCUUAGUGGUAAUUGUGUGCAUUAGUUGUGGAACAGUGCCUUAGUGGUGAACUGGUGAUUGUGUGCAUUAGUUGUGGAUGUGUGUGUCUUAAUGAUGAUUGUGUGCAUUCGUUGUGGAAUGUGCCUUAGUAGUGAUUGUGUGUCUUAGUUGUGAAUGUGUGCCUUAGUGGUGAUUGUAUGCAUUAGUUGUGGAUGUGUGUCUUAGUGGUGAUUGUGUGCAUUAGAUUAGGAGUCUUCGUGGUGGACCGGGAACCAAGCCUUGGCCGGGUGAUUGAUUACGGUCAGUAUAGAGCUCUAGUUUGUCUGUCGGUACUUCAUGGGGGAUGACUAAGUGUCAACGAACCCAUGCGUACGCGUUUGUUUGGUUACUUAUGAGGGAUGACUAAGUGUUGACGAACUCAUAAGUAAGAGUAGAGAAAUGAUUAUGUGAUGUUCUUAUGUGUUGUCAUUUAAAUUCCUUGCUUUGAGUAUCUCCUGAACUAUGCUUAUCCGCAGGAGAUUCUAAAUCUUUACUUGUGAUUUUUAGUGAAUUCCUGAACUACAUUUUUUUGCAGGAUUCAUUUAUGAUUUUAAUUAUUUGUGGAUGGUUGUGUUUUCUUAUUUACUCUAUUUUAAAUUCUCUCAUUUUUAGGCAAUUCCUGAACUAAGUUUAUAAGCAAGAAUUACUGAUGUUUAUCUUGUGAUGUUAGGUUGAGUUCUUUAAUGUAGAUUUACUCAUAUGAGCUUUUAAAGCUUACCGAGUUUGUUGUUUACAACCCGGUACACCAAUCCAGGGUGUAGAGGUUGAUUUUGCAGGUCAGGUUUAGCAGAGUUAAGGCUGCGGCAAUUAGGUAAUUUUUCUUUUUGUUUACUUUCUAGUUGUUGUGAGUAUUGAGAGAGUUUUACUUUGUUCAAAAUUAUUUUCCACAAGUUGUAAAACUAAAUUGUUGUAGUGAUUGUUUUUCUUUUUUGGUUAUUAUGCCUUGAAUUUGAAAUUUUUUAUUUAUCCAAAAUUUAGGGUGUGACAACCUAAACGCUUGAUUUGUUCCACUUUCUGAAAGCGGGAGGAAUCACUUAAAGUGCUUAGGCUCUACGUAUUUUUCGACCGCGCAAGGAAGAGUAGAAAUCCUGAGAUUGCACAAAGUCAUCCUCUUUCAAGUUUUGUAUGUCUCUUCUUUAACAUGGAAAACACUUCGAGCAAAUUCAUUUCCUUGUUUUGAUAUGGCAGUACUCUAUACAACCCGAGCAAACUCAUUUUCUUACUUUGUUAUGACUGGACUUAGAAGCAUCUUCCAAGCUGCCUACGUACUCUUACGAGAAAGAGAUCAAGUCACGACGUAGUUCAAGGAUUUUUUUAUAUUUUUUUAGGUGUCGUACGCAGUUUAUGCUCGUGGGGGCAAGGAGCAUUUUUUUUUUUGUGCCUUGUGCAGUUGAGGCUCAUGCAGGCUAGGAGUUGUUUUUUUUUUUCUUUUUUUUGGUUGUCAUUUGCAAUUUAAGCUCGUGCAGACAAGGAGCGAUAAUUUUUUUUUGUUUUUUGUUUUUUUUUGUGUGUCAUUCGCAGUUUAAACUAGUGCGGACAAGAAACAUUUUGACUCUUGAGUGGUCUACAUAAAUUUAGACGGGUUGCAUGCCCCUAACAAAGGUGUUGAGGACACCACUUCAAGGUGUUCAAAAAAGAUGGUUGCAUAAUUUGACUAAGCCACGUCAUCUUCAACAUCUAAACAUAUCUUUCCUUGUUGUGCUAGCUUCAUGAUGAGGUCUUUCAAGACGAAGCCCUUCUCCAGGAUGACCGAUGACACGGUGGUACUUGUAAUACUUAGGAUCAUUGACACGAUGCAUCUCUUCUGGACGCUUGCAGUCUGGCAAUUUGAUUAGUUCUUUUUCAAGCAAGUUUUCCAACAUCUCAACAACAUCGAAAUCUGGAAAAGGGUAACUUUUAGCUUCCAAGUCAUUUAGAGUUUGCCUCCUUGCUUGAUCUUGCAGGAGUUGUACUGAUUGCCAAAGACUCUUGAUUCUCUGGUUCUAUGAUGUCACAUUUUCUUUGGCCAUGACUAGCCAAACUGAGUUCCAUGUCAUGAGCUCGGGUAGCAAGUUCUUCAAAGGUGCGAGGCUUUAUCCCUUGAAAAAUGUACAACAAAUCCCAAUGCAUGCCUUGAAUACACAUCUAUACCGCUGACAAUUUUAAGAGUCGGUCUUUGCAGUCGAGACUUAGUGUACGCCAACGAUUGAUGAACUCUACAGCAGGCUCGCCAUUUUGUUGUUUGGUGUUGGUGAGCUCUAACAUACUCACCAUGCGACGUGUGUUGAAGAAGUGGUUCAAGAACUCCUUUUCCAUUUGCUCCCAGCUGUCAAUGAAUUCAGGCUCCAAGUCUGUAAACCAUUUAAACUCCGUGCCUUGGAGUGAGCGAACAAAUUGCUUCACAAGAUGAUCACCAUCGGUGCCAGUGUUGUUGCAUGUUUCGAUGAAAUGUGCGAUGUGUUGCUUUGGGUUACAUUUGCCAUCAAAUUGUUAAAACUUGGGAGGUUGGUAACCAGUUGACAUUCUCAAAUUGUCUAGCCGCUUGGUGUAAGACUUGGAAUACGUUAGUGUAUCUCGAGGCGAACCACCAUAUUGAGCUUUGAUUGUCUUGGCAAUCAUGUCUUGAAGCUGUUGAACUAACAAUGAAGCUAGGAUGGAAUUUGAUUCUCCUUUUUGCUCGGAAGAUGAUCCACUAGACUUGUCUUUCUUAUCGCCAUGAAGGUUAUUCUCCGAGUCAUUGUCGUGGUGAACUUCUAGCUUCUCCAUGAGUGAUGCAAUUUCUACAUCCUUCUCUUCAAUGGUCUUUUGGAGCUUCUUCACCGCUUCAGUCAACUGGGCUAUUUGGGCCGCUUGUUCUUCCAUGUUGAUCACUUCUAUCACCAUGACUUGCAUGGCGCAAGAGUCGUCUUCUAGAAUCGCUUCAAUUUGAUUGUCAAGAUGCAAUUCCAAGUGUGGACAUAUCUUCGAAUCAACUUUGGUUGUGGGCGAAGGAGAAUGUUUCCUCGAGUUGCCUGACGAUGUUAAAAGUCUUUGCUUCGUGAGGUUUGCCACCAUUGUUGUCCAAACGUCGAUCAGCUGAAACUGCUUUGAGGAAUGAAGGUUGAAUGUUGUGAGUUGAAAUGACUCACUAUGAGCAACAUGAUCGCUAAGGUUUCUACUGCUUUUCAGAGUAGCUAUAUAGCUACCUUGUUGGUCUUGUUUUUCGAUUUGAUUUGCACCAUCUUUGAAGCCAUGUGAUGAGGAUGGCGAGAUUGUCGGAGGAGGAGAUGAGAGGCAGAGAUGGUCUCACUGGGCGUGCCAAUUUUGUAAACACGAAAAUUUCUGUAACGAAUAACAGAAAGACAUGUGUACAAAAUAAUAUAUUUGUAUUGAUUGAAUUUGCGGGUUACAAUCUCUGUGGGUAUUCUUUUAACAAGAAUGUCCUCUGAUUCGAUCUCCAUCGUUGAUUUGAUCCAAGGGUGACGAGCACUUGAUCUUGAAUUGAACUGUUGUAGUUUGAACUUCUUAUCGUGUUGACGAUUUGUAGAAGGAAGUUGACCAAGGGCCGUAGAGGCUUGAUCUUGGUCGAAUUUGGGUCGAGAAAGGUGUCACGUGGUGAACGUUCUUCGGCUUGAUAGCGGAUGAAUCGGCACGUGUGUUUGGUGCUUGUUGAUUCUCCAACAGCUUGUUGAAGAACUUGGUAAAAGUUUUGAUUUGUUGAAAGGCUUGAAGACGAGGGUUGAUCAAAGGCCGUAGAGGCUUGACAUUGAUCGGGUUUGGGCCACGAGCAGUUCCACGUGGUGGUUGCUCUUCGUCUUGUAGUUGGUGAAGAUGUCGGCUAUUUGACAAUUUGGGACUCUUCGGGAUUUGACAACUUCUAGGUUUGAGGUUGAUGAAGAAUCGACUAUUUGACAGCUUGAUAAUUCUUCAAGGGUUCUGGGAGAAUUCUGAGCUCUCGAGAGUAAUUUUUCUCUCUUGUCCGGAAGUCCUCUUCUUGAUAUGAGAGAGGGGUAUUUAUAGUGUCGACGUUCCUCCGUUUAUGGAAUGUUUUGAAGACAGUGUUUUAAUUGUAUUUCCUUAACAGUAUAAUUAAAUCAAUCAGUUUUGAUUGAUUGAUCUAAUUAUAAUUAUUAACAUAAUUAAAUCAGUCUGUAUUUAUUGAUUGAUUCGAUUAUGACUGAUAAAGUAUUUUGCUAAUUUGAUUAAAUGUUCGACUUCCUUUCCGAUAAUCAAUUUAAUUUGAUUGAAAUUUGAUUAUCGAUUGACAUUUAAUAUUUACUUUUAGUCGGAAUUGAUGAUUUUUGUUGUCGACUGAUCAUUCACACGUGACCACAUGUCAUUUUCGAAGACUUUAUAAUUUUUCCAACUGACGAACCACAUAUGC